rnacentral:lncRNA from 1 species
CGGUCUACAAAUAUAAGUCGCCACCACCUCCUGUGUACCACGCCCCGGCUCCUGUUUACAAGUACAAGUCACCUCCUCCCCCCGUCUACCACUACAGCUCGCCACCACCGCCGGUUUACAAGUACAAGUCACCACCACCACCUGUGUACCACGCCCCGGCACCAGUUUACAAGUACAACUCGCCACCACCCCCAGUUUACAAGUACAGCUCGCCACCACCACCUGUUUACAAAUACAAGUCGCCACCACCACCUGUGUACCACACCCCGGCUCCUGUUUACAAGUACGAGUCGCCUCCUCCGCCGGUGUACAAGUACAGCUCCCCGCCGCCACCGGUCUACAAAUAUAAGUCGCCACCACCACCUGUGUACCACGUCCCAGCGCCGGUUUACAAGUACGAAUCUCCUCCGCCACCGGUGUACAAGUACAGCUCUCCGCCACCACCAGUCUACAAGUAUAAGUCGCCACCACCACCUGUGUACCACGCCCCUGCUCCAGUCUACAAGUACAAAUCUCCUCCGCCACCGGUGUACAAGUACAGCUCGCCACCACCACCGGUUUACAAAUACAAGUCGCCUCCUCCACCUGUUUACCACGCCCCGGCUCCAGUCUACAAGUACAAAUCCCCGCCACCACCGGUGUAUCACUACAGCUCCCCGCCACCACCUGUUUACAAGUAUAAGUCUCCACCGCCGCCUGUUUACCACGCUCCCGCCCCAGUCUACAAGUAUAAGUCACCGCCGCCACCUGUUUACCACUACAGCUCCCCACCACCCCCGGUUUACAAGUACAAAUCUCCUCCUCCCCCUGUCUACCACGCUCCAGCACCGGUUUACAAGUAUAAGUCUCCGCCGCCACCGGUCUAUCACUACAGCUCCCCGCCACCACCGGUGUACAAGUACAAGUCGCCACCACCGCCUGUGUACCACGCUCCAGCACCGGUUUACAAGUAUAAGUCGCCUCCUCCACCUGUUUACCACUACAGCUCGCCACCACCGCCGGUCUACAAGUACAAAUCCCCGCCAC